CCGUUCUUAGUUGGUGGAGCGAUCUGUCUGGUUAAUUCCGAUAACGAACGAGACUCUCCCCUGCUAACUAGUCGGUUGGAUCUUGAUUCAUGUGAGUUGCGUGCCGGGUAACGGCGUGCGUGUCUCCUCUGGGGGCGCUUGUCGGGUGUCUCGCUGGUGUGCUCCUCGCGGGUGUGCUGGUUUNCCCUGGCUUGUCGGUUCCCUUGGUGUUCGUGCGUGCUGCCUCGGAUCACUGCACUCCAAGUCCGCCGCUUAUGCUAUAACUCUUCUUAGAGGGAUUCACGGCACUGAAGCCGUAAGAGACUGAGAGCAAUAACAGGUCUGUGAUGCCCUUAGAUGCUCUGGGCCGCACGCGCGCUACAAUGCCGGGCACAGCAGGCGUUUCCCCUGCUCCGACAGGAGCGGGUAACCCUCUGAAAGCCAAUGAUACUUAAAUCUCGUGCACUCGUUGCGCGAGAUCCAGGCGUGCUUGGGCCUGGGACUUGCAAUUCUUUCCCACCAACGAGGAAUGCCUAGUAGCGGCGGGUCACUGAGCCCGCUGUGACUCAGUCCCUGCCCUUUGUACACACCGCCCGUCGCUACUACCGAUUGGGUGUACCAGUGAGAGCCUUGGACUGGCGGCCGUU
rnacentral:rRNA from 1 species